CCAAUUCAUAUAACUUGUAAAUUUCGGAGACUCACUGCUCCAUGAGCAUUCCAUCGAUUCUCAUGCAAGUUCAAAAAGAACAAUAAACUCUUCCCACUAUUGGAGACAAAGCGACAACAUCGACGCUUCCAAGAAAAGAAGUAGAUCCUCAUUCACUAAUUCUGAGCAAGCUAUUAACUAGUUCAUUCAUUGAUUGCCAUAGGCAAAAGCUUAUCAACUAAAGACAGAGAAUAAGCACAACUUGCUCACUUCAUAUUGAUUGACGACCAUGAUUUCCCUCAACAGCGCGGGGUGAAGUAGAAUAUAUCAUGCACAGAGAAUGAAGCAGGAAGUAGAUGAGGCAAAUAGAAUGUGAUUUUAGUGGGUGCUCUUAGAUUGAUUACCUGCUUCUGGACAAUGAAAUUGACGAAGGUGGAGAAAUCAAUAACCAAAGGACAAGACAGGUAUUGUGAAGGAGGUAACGCACAUUGAUUUUAUAAAAAGUAUCAAGACAUCACGUGGUUGAGGACAUUGCGGGGUGACUCAGCAGCAAGGAGGCGGCUAGCAACCAGCCAUAACAUUGCUCCAGUUAGUGAGCGUAACAUGUGUCGGCCAAAGUUCAUGAUCUGAAUUGGCGUGAUCACGAUUCACGCUCAGCGAUGUCGUCUCGAUUCUGUUCGACAGGGCGUACUAUGAUCGUCACCAAAGAUCAUGUGUGUGCCAGCAACUCCAAGCCUUCUCGUGUCACCGACCACCACCAAUCACCAAAGGAUCACAGGAACCACUGAGAAAACAAACGGAGAGUCAGUUUCACUAUUGGCAACUAUGGCGUAUACUCGUAAUCACGUCUAAAGAUUGCAAAAUCAAACAAUAUCAAGUGAACAUCGCUAAUGUGCUUUCAAAUAGGACGAUUACUGGAAUCAAUUCACAACAAGAUCUCAGACUCAUUUCAUCGAACAGAUUAUGGCGAAUUGGUUGUGGAACAGAUCAAAGCCAUUUCGAACUCAAAUUUAUAACUAGACUCGACCUAAAUCAGUACAUAAUGUUCGAAGUCUCAAAAAAAAAAAAAAAUCAAACUACGAUAUUAAUCAUAAUAAGAGAAUCGGACACUCGGCCUCUUACCUGUGACAACAGAACGUGCUCCUCCCGAGACUGAUGGUCUACGGCGGCGACCAGCGAAGGAGUUGGAACUUGUAAUGAUUGGGCGGUGGUAGGCAAGUGGCUAAAUCGGAACUUGAGAUAUUAUGGUGGCUGGAGAUGAUGGAAGAUGGAGCCAUUUUCCCCUGCUUCCUCCCUUCUGGGCGCAUGAGUUUUCCCUUAGUGAACGUAAAAAACCUUGAGAAAAACAGAGGGACCUUUCCUUCUUGUGCCGCCCCUUUUCUCUAGAAGGGAAAGAAUAGAUUGUUUUUUUCUCUUUACUAGAGUUUUGUGCUUCCGCGCCAGUUACCAGUUACCACGAAAAUUAAUUAAACCAUUGGGCGCCAUAUGUCCUCCCUUCUGAUUUGACAUGAAUGAAGAUGAUGUUGCUAUUGGUAAUUCUUUUUUUGGAAAAAAAAAAGUGACGAGACAGGACAACCUCUAAUAUGGAAAAGAAAGAGACAAGAUAAGGGAAAAAUGAUAAAGGAUAGAGGAUAGAAUGCACCAAGCGUGGAAAAAGUUCCAUGGGUCAACUCUCUCUUAUUUGGUCCCUCCAAUAAUAUUUUGUUUCAUCUGUAAUUUUCUUCCCCUUUAACCUUUCAGUGCUCCUGCUUUAGAGAUUGUUCGAGUUUAAAGUACUUUUUUAUACACUAGUAAAAUUUGCAUGUUAUUCUAUGGUGUUUCGAGACUAAAAUUUAAUUGAUACCGUUGCAACAUUGAAAUUUUAUUAAUUUCACUAAUAGUUCAAUUGGUUGUUCAUAAUGUGUUUUGUUGAAAUUUCCAACUUCCAUAAAAUAGAAAAUAAAAAGAAAAGAAUACGCAUUUGGCAGACAUAAUGCUUAUUUGAGGUUCACAUGUCAAGCAAUGUAUACCUCAAUAUCCAUACAUCAUUUGCUUUGUAGAGAAUAAUUAUACAGCAUUUUGAAGUAAACUUGUCUUGUUCAUUUUCAUUCAAGUUAUGGGGGCUAAUCUCCCUAUAGAAGCAUCAUUGCGACUUAUCGACGAGUUCAGUCAAUUAAAAGCCAUUUGAAAACUUAGUCCUCCCUUCUGAUUUGACAUGAAUGAAGCACGCAUAUGCUUUCUUUGCAUAUGCAGGAUAACACUACACUAAAGUCGAAGGAUGACUUAACUAAAAAACAAAAGUUGAAAGAUGAAAAGAUACUUGACGUGGAAGAAUAGAUAUAUAAUGUUACCCGUGACUUUGGAGCAGUCAACCCUAGCCAAGAAGAGUAACAAGCCCAGUCAAAGAUGGAAAUAAGUAUGUGUGCAUAUGCUUGACCGGUAAAUGAGAAUUAUGUGGCAAGUUAAACGCACAUUUAAAUUGACUCUUUUCGGAACAAAAUAACAAGUUUAUAUGGCAACAUGAGAUGAAAAUGAAAUUUUGAUUCUGUCAAUAAGUCUUGGUUUAUUUAUAUUAGUAUCACUUUUUCAUUUACAUGAUUAAGCACCACCAAUCGAUUUGCAUUUUGUUGAAUUUUAACUUAUUAUACCUCUUAGAAAUACUUCUUUUGGCAAAUUGCCUCCCAAUGGCAUUGGCAAUCUCCUUCCAUAAUUAUUUGCUUGAAGAUUUCGAAUCAACGGUUUAGCUGCGAUAGCAUUUUUUAUUUAAUUUAUUCAUAUUACGACUAUCUGAAAAUAUAUGAAUGAUUUUGGAAAGAGUAGAAAUACUUUAUGUUAGAUGUACGAAGCAUUUUCUUUAUAAGACUAUUUGGUACACCUUUCAUGCAGCAAUUUCGGCCAUGAAAAAUGGGUGGCGUUUGAUAAACAUUUCACAAUUAUAGCACAUUCAAGAUUACAGUAGCUUAUAGUCGACACCCUCAUUUUUGGCUGGAAAUUUAAGCAAAAUUGACAAUUUAGGCAGUUUUUGUUAUGACUGAAUAAAACCAAAAUGAAAAGCGCAAAAAAAAAAAAAAAAAAAAAAAAAAAACAAGAACAUAAAAGGAACUUGCAUAACUCAGACCCAUUAAAGCCCAGAAACAAUACCAUGUCGAGACCUCAGCUUGUUCAAUAUCCUUGUACCAAGCCUCCAUUAUUUCAUUUCUUCACUAGAGCCCAUUAGAUUGGCUUGAAAAAACUCAACAAACCCAGCCCUAAUUUGUCUCCUUCUUGACCCUGCGACUUGACGGAACAAGGCGGGGAGCGCGUGAGGAUGAGACCAAGAGAGGGGGAGCGAAGCAGCAGCCGUGAGGAUAUCUAGAAUCCUGAGUCAGAUGGGUUUUCUGAAAAAAAAAAAAAAAAGGCAGAUAGGGGAGAGAACAUGACCUGUGUCCCGAGGAAGUACUCCAAGGCGGUAAAAUCUACCCUCUUCAGCAUCCUCUCAAAACUUGAAUCAAGUGCAGCGGACGAACCGACUCAGCAUUUUAAUACUCAAAAAAUUUCAUGGGAAGAGACAUGGCCUACACUACCUUUGCGGUCGAUCUAGACCGGUUGCACCAAAGGUCGUGCCAGGCCCAGCACCAUUUUCAACAAGAGGAAAAGUACCUGACUCUCCUUUAGAUUCCAAUAGCUCAAGCACAUGGACGCUGCCAUUAGUAAGCCCUAGUGCAAACUGGUUAGGUUUGAAGGGUUGUGAUGCAAUGACUAGCUGGUUGAUUCUCAAGCUGCCAAAUGCAUUGGUAAGGAAUGAAAUUACUUGCGAGACUAUUGAAACUUCACGAAUGAGAAGCUUUGAAAUUCUAGCACUACUCACUGCUCCAUGAGCAUUCCAUCGAUUCUUAUGCAAGUUCAAAACAAACAAUGAACUCUUUCCACUAUUGGAGACAAAGCAACGACAUCAACAUUUCCAAGACAGAAAUAAAUUCUCAAUUUAUUAAAUCUGAGCAAGCUAUUAACUGGUUUAAUUCGUUGAUUGUCAUAUGCAGAAACUAUCAACUAAAGACAGGGAAUAAGUAUAACUUGCUCACUUCAUAUCGUUUGUUGACCAUGAUUUCCCUCAACAGCACGCGGUGAAGUAGAAUAUGCCAUGCACAGGGAAAGAAGCAGGAAGUAGAUGACUCAAAUAGAAUGUGAUUUUAGUGGGUGCUCUUAGAUUGAUUACCUGCUUCUGGACAAUGAAAUUGACGAAGGUGUAGUAAUCAAUAACCAAAGGACAAGACAGGUAUUGUGAAGGAGGUAACACACAUUGAUUUUGUAACAAAGUAUCAAGACAUCGCGUGGUUGAGGACAUUGCGGGGCGACUCAGCAGCAAGGACGCGGCUGGCAACCAGCCACAACAUUGCUCCAGUUAGUGACCAUAACAUGUGUUGGCCGAAUUUCAUGAUCUGAAUUGGCGUGAUUGUGAUUCACGCUCAGCGACAUCGUCUCGAUUCUGUUCAACAAGGCAUAAUAUGCUCAUCACCAAAG
rnacentral:lncRNA from 1 species